GCGCCUAACGGCGUGCCUCGG
rnacentral:snRNA from 1 species